rnacentral:rRNA from 1 species
GAAAAGAAACCAACAGGGAUUGCCCUAGUAACGGCGAGUGAAGCGGCAACAGCUCAAAUUUGAAAUCUGGCCUCACGGUCCGAAUUGUAAUUUGUAGAGGAUGUUUCUGGCGACGUGUCUUCCGAGUUCCCUGGAACGGGACGCCAUAGAGGGUGAGAGCCCCGUCCGGUCGUACACCUAGCCUCUGUGAAACUCCUUCGACGAGUCGAGUAGUUUGGGAAUGCUGCUCUAAAUGGGAGGUAUACGUCUUCUAAAGCUAAAUACCGGCCAGAGACCGAUAGCGCACAAGUAGAGUGAUCGAAAGAUGAAAAGCACUUUGAAAAGAGGGUUAAAUAGUACGUGAAAUUGCUGAAAGGGAAGCGCUUAUGACCAGACUUGGGCUCGGUGAAUCAUCCGGCGUUCUCGCCGGUGCACUUUGCCGUCCCAGGCCAGCAUCAGUUCGCGCCGGGGGAUAAAGGUUUCGGGAAUGUAGCUCCCUCGGGAGUGUUAUAGCCCGUUGCGUAAUACCCUGGCGUGGACUGAGGUCCGCGCUCUGCAAGGAUGCUGGCGUAAUGGUCAUCAGUGACCCGUCUUGAA